rnacentral:misc_RNA from 1 species
UCCGGUUUGUCACCGGCAGUAUCCCAUGAGUCCUCGGCCGAACCGUUAGCAACAUGGGACAGGGGUUGCGCUCGUUGCGGGACUUAACCCAACAUUUCACAACACGAGCUGACGACAGCCAUGCAGCACCUGUGUUCAGGUUCCCUUUCGGGCACCGCCGCAUCUCUGCGGCGUUCCUGACAAGUCAAGGGUAGGUAAGGUUUUUCGCGUUGCAUCGAAUUAAUCCACAUAAUCCACCGCUUGUGCGGGUCCCCGUCAAUUCCUUUGAGUUUUAACCUUGCGGCCGUACUCCCCAGGCGGUCAACUUCACGCGUUAGCUUCGUUACCAAGGGAAUCAAUCCCCCGACAACCAGUUGACAUAGUUUAGGGCGUGGACUAC